rnacentral:tRNA from 1 species
GGCCGACUGGCGAAAUGGCAUCGCGUCUGACUACGAUAUUGUAAUCAGGAGAUUGCAGGUUCGACCCCUGCGUCGGUCA